UCGGGGAUAGCUCAGUUUGGUAGAGCAUGAGGCUCUUGAUCUCAGGGUUGUGGGUUCAAGCCUCACAUUGUGCAAAA